rnacentral:rRNA from 1 species
CCUACGUGAGGCAGCAGUAGGGAAUUUUCCACAAUGGACGAAAGUCUGAUGGAGCAACGCCGCGUGAGUGAAGAAGGGUUUCGGCUCGUAAAGCUCUGUUGGUAGUGAAGAAAGAUAGAGGUAGUAACUGGCCUUUAUUUGACGGUAAUUACUUAGAAAGUCACGGCUAACUACGUGCCAGCAGCCGCGGUAAUACGGAGGUGGCAAGCGUUGUCCGGAUUUAUUGGGCGGAAAGGGAGUGCAGGCGGGUCAAUAGGUCUGACGUGAAAGCCUUCGGCCCAACCGGAGAAUUGCAUCAGAAACUGUUGAACUUGAGUGCAGAAGAGGAGAGUGGAACUCGAGGGGUAGCGGUGGAAUGCGUAGAUAUAUGGAAGAACACCAGUGGCGAGGGCGGCUCUCUGGUCUGCAACGGACGCUGAGGCUCGAAAGCAUGGGUAGCGAACAGGAUUAGAUACCCCAGUAGUC